rnacentral:tRNA from 2 species
AGCCCGGUAGUGUAGCGGUCAAUCAUGCAAGGCUCUGGACCUUGCGACAGCAGUUCGAAUCUGCUCCGGGCUACUA